rnacentral:rRNA from 1 species
UAGGGAAUCUUCCGCAAUGGGCGAAAGCCUGACGGAGCAACGCCGCGUGAGUGAUGAAGGUCUUCGGAUCGUAAAACUCUGUUAUUAGGGAAGAACAAAUGUGUAAGUAACUAUGCACGUCUUGACGGUACCUACUCAGAAAGCCACGGCUAACUACGUGCCAGCAGCCGCGGUAAUACGUAGGUGGCAAGCGUUAUCCGGAAUUAUUGGGCGUAAAGCGCGCGUAGGCGGUUUUUUAAGUCUGAUGUGAAAGCCCACGGCUCAACCGUGGAGGGUCAUUGGAAACUGGAAAACUUGAGUGCAGAAGAGGAAAGUGGAAUUCCAUGUGUAGCGGUGAAAUGCGCAGAGAUAUGGAGGAACACCAGUGGCGAAGGCGACUUUCUGGUCUGUAACUGACGCUGAUGUGCGAAAGCGUGGGGAUCAAACAGG